rnacentral:rRNA from 1 species
UACAACUUUCAGCAACGGAUCUCUUGGCUCUCCCAUCGAUGAAGAACGCAGCGAAAUGCGAUAAGUAAUGUGAAUUGCAGAAUUCAGUGAAUCAUCGAAUCUUUGAACGCACCUUGCGCCCUUUGGUAUUCCGAAGGGCAUGCCUGUUUGAGUGUCAU